CUGUACUGUCAGGUAGGGAAGUCCCGGCAGGUGAGAUCGAGCCGUGUUUUUUCCGGGCCCGGCGGCGUGUAAUGGUCCGGAUGUUUUUGCCUGCCCGGUGAUACGGAAGGAGGGAGUUCUGGUUACCUUAUCACAGCUGUUCCACUUUACCGUUCACACUAAUACAUUAAUUUAACGAAGAAAAGAGUAGUUGCCUGUACCAUUUCAUCGUAAAACUAUAAAUAUAUAGAGUACUGUAGUUGAGUUAUUUCUUGUCUGUAUUAUUCGAAUGGAAGCGGACAGACAAUUUGAGUUACAAAGAUCUUGUUGCGGCUUUGGUGUGGCUUUACCUCAAGGCGUUCUGCUGACACUGAGAAAAACUGUGCGGUUGUCAAAGGGAGGGAGUCAUUUUCCAGCUGCUGGCCGUGACCAAAACGUCCUGGUCACAAGAGGAUACUUUUUGCCUUUAAUAUGCGUGGCCUUAAGUAUUCCCUUAGUCAUUACGUAACGCAGACACAAAGCAGCAGCGGCGGCUCGGGUGUGGAUCCCAAGGUCACUGGUUGACUGAACUUUUCCUGCCCAGUGGGCACGCUCCACUUGACCAGCUUAUCAGAAGGAACCACUGUGCGUCGGUAAUCCUGGUGCUAGCUUGCCUCCCUGCCUGCGCCAUGUAUAUAUACAUGCCAAGUAAUCCUUGCAGCCUUGACACGGUCUCUUCGCUCCAUAAAAGGUUGGCGUGCACUUCCACCUGCCGGUUUGUUCGUGUGAGUGCUGCCAUGACCGUGGCUGCGACCCGGCCCACAACAUACGACAACCUGUGUGUCACCCUCGCGUGUGUAUAUGCUCGGGUAAUGUAGAAGGUGCAAGCUUUCUUCCGUUUUCGCAUCGAUCUAUGCCUUUGCUUCCCUUUGAAACAGCUACAGCACCUGCACAAUAUUAUGGUUCUCUUGCAUAUCUGCUUUCAUAUCGAUCAGUGAUUCUACCUCCCCUCCCAUUUAAACUACGAGUAUCAUUUCAGGAAGGGUCUCAGCGAUGGGUUUGGACGCAAUACUACAAAUUUGCUUGAUGUUGGACAACACACAUUUAACUGUUAGUCUCCAGGAUACCGCUCACUUUAGUUAAAAGAAAUAAAACACACACACACACACACACACACACACACACACACACACACACACACACACACACACACACACACACACACACAAAAGUAACAUGUAAACAAUAAAAUAUCAAUUAGAUUUUUUUUAAAUACAAAAUUGUAAAUCGAGGAAAAAAUAAACGAGUAACAGGUUCUCCUCUCCUGAACAAAAUAUAAAUAUGCUGUAGCGCAGAAACUCAUGAACAAGUAAAAAUAGGUGAGCAAAAAUGUAAAACUAAAAAGAAAUUAAUGUAUAAACGACCUCAAAACCAAAAUUGCUCGUGUUUAGUUCUGGCAAACGAGCGCCGUCCGUCAGGAAGCGGAAACUCUUUUGUCUAAUUCCCGGAACAAACAAUUACUCCGCUCAGCAGCCUUCGUCUAAGGUUUGCCGCGACCUGCUCCUCUCCUGGUUAGUGUUGGUGUUCUCAGACGCUUUCGCCUCUCACAUUAACCAUCUUCAAAGGCCGAAAAGGAGAUCAGUCGGGUUCUAAUGAGUGUUUGUGUAGGUUCAUGGUACAGAAGAAGGGUCACACUACCACCAGGGUCAUAAAACUACUCCUGGGACGGGUUCUAAUGUGUGUUUGUGUAGGUUCAUGGUACAGAAGAAGGGUCACACUACCACCAGGGUUAUAAAACUACUCCUGGGACGGGUUCUAAUGAGUGUUUUUGUAGGUUCGUGGUACAGAAGAAGGUUCACACUACCACCAGGGUCAUACAACUACUCCUGGGAAUGCCCAAAACUCCUAGAAAGCCUUGUCAGAUGUGUGUUUUGCAUUUAUUGUUAUAUGGCGUGCUCGUUUUUUUCCUCCAAAGUUUUUAGUUUAUAGCGUACUUCUUAUAAAUCUUGGUUAUAUACUGUGCUCGUUUUAUAUAUACCGUUCUCAAUAUUCAACGUUCGAUCUUGCUUCUCUCAUCAACAUCCAACUUCUCGUCGUGUGCCGGCUCGCUUGAGAGUAGAUCAUGGACACACAUCUUGCCCCACCAGACUUUCACUUUCGUAGGACAGAGGACAGUCGUGUGGGCCAAGACGGGCUGCUCACCGUUCAGAGUAUUACCAGGAAACUGAAGUGAAUGAGAGCGGCUGUACAGAGACAAGGGGAAGGGACAGGGGUGGGAAAGGCAAACCAAUCCUAUUACAGACUACACAGCGAAGAAAUAAAGCACCAAAAAUGAUAGUCUGGCUAUUCAAACAAACCACAGUGAAGAUAGAAGUGAAUGAGAGCGGCUGUAGGGAGACAAGGCAAAAGGACAGGGGUGGGAAAGGCAAACCAAUCCUAUUACAGACUACACAGCGAAGAAAUAAAGCACCAAAAAUGAUAGUCUGGCUAUUCAAACAAACCACAGUGAAGAUAGAAGUGAAUGAGAGCGGCUGUACAGAGACAAGGGGAAGGGACAGGGGUGGGAAAGGCAAACCAAUCCUAUACAGACUACACAGCGAAGAAAUUAAGCACCAAAAAUGAUAGUCCGCAGUGAAGAUAGAAGUGAAUAGAUUUGACACAGCAUCAGCAACGAGGAUGCAGAAAAAAACAAAAUCGUGUCAAGUUUUAGAGUCCCGUGAGAGUAGUAAUUUUAGUGACUGUUAAGAGGGAGGGAGGGAGGAAGGAGCAAAGAAUAAUUAAGGUUAGAGAGCGUAUAAUAUAUUCUAGACAAGGCUACGUAACCUUCAACUACACUCCUUACAAGACCAAAUGCUUCCGUUGAAACCUUCCUAAUGUCAAUCACAUCAACAAAUUUUUCCGUCAUCAGCCCACGUCAAACAAAACCUCAGGAUGUAGGUGACGCAAACUCCGCCAAAUACGCGAAAUUCUAAACGUAGGUAACGCAAGCUACGACAAAGACACGCGUUAAAAUCAGAAUGAGACUGCUUGAGUUCUGAGCAUGAACCGUAAACUUGUGCAUAGAAAGUUUCGCGGGUGUUCUUGAGCAAGCUAGACCGAGAACCAAAUGUGGACUCGGUGCGUGAUUCAAACAGUAGAUAUGUGAGGGAAAACCAGCAGAAGUACACUAUAGUUAGAUUCGGUGUGUAAACUAUGGCUAAAAGUCUUCAAAGUGUCCCAAAGUAGCUAAGAAUUGGUAAAGAGAGAAUACAUGUGCUGUGGGUACGAAGCGAAGGUGUCACACAAAGCCAAUUCACCGAGUGCUUCAAAUACACCCAAAAAAUCUUUAAUGCGAGUCGAAUAUAAGAUUAUGUACCUGUAAAAUAGUUAUCCUUGUCUUGUUUUUCUCCCGUUCUCCAUCAAGGAAUUCACAAGGUUGCCGCGGGGGUGGUGAUAAGAGAAACUGGGAAAAACUUUUAUGUUGCGCAAAAUUGAUGAGAGAGAGAGAGAGAGAGAGAGAGAGAGAGAGAGAGAGAGAGAGAGAGAGAGAGAGAGAGAGAGAGAGAGAGAGAGAGAGAGAGA